ensembl:misc_RNA Metazoa_SRP Metazoan signal recognition particle RNA
GCCGGGUGCAGUGGCGCUCGCCUGUGAUCCCAAGUCACCGGGGAGGCUGAGGCUGGUGGAUCGCUUGAGCUCAGGAGCUCUGGGCUGCAGCGCGCUAUGCCGAUCGGGUGUCCGCACUAAGUUCGGUAUGGACAUGGUGCUCCUGGGGGAGCCCGGGAUCACCAGGUUGUCUAAGGAGGGGUGCACCGAUCCAGGUCGGAAACGGAGCAGGUCAAAGCCCCCGUGCCGCUCAGUAGUGGGAUUGUGCCUGUGAAUAGACGUUGUAGUGCAGCCUGAGUAACACAGCGGGACCCAGCCUUUU